AAUUCAGUUUCAUUCUUCACUCACAAGAAAGGAGAAGGAAAAGAUUUCUUUGUGUCCCAGGCCCUGUCAUUAAAACCUUUCCCAAUGUGGAGAACAGGUUUAGUUGCCCAGAGCACCUUAAGUGUCUCAGCUGAGCGACCAGGGCCUUCCACAUUGCAAGAAUGCCCAUGAUGGCCAGCAGAGAGAGCUGGAGCACCACAGACCCGGAGGGGUGGGUUCCUGUGCCCAGGCAGUGAUGGCCAGCAGAGGGCGCACCAUCGGCUUUUCUGACCCAGGGCACCUCAGAGCAGGAAGGGCUUCUAUUGCUCCCAGAGGACUCAGGGCCUCUGCCGCUGCCUCAGUACAGAGAGCAGAGCUGCAUUUCCAGCAGGUUGUGGCCCCCGCCCCAGGGGAGACCUUGGGAGCUUUGUAGCAACUUGGCAUCUCCUGAGUCGCCAGAGAGAAUUUGCCUUAUUGUACUGAGUGCUGAGGAGUGGGCGCUGGGUGGCUUCCCUGGGCAAGCUGGUUGCUGAGCUGCACAGGCCCUUGCAUUUUCUGUUCCCGUGUUUCAUUCCUCCCCUUCCCGGACAGUAUUUGAACAAGACGUAUUUUACUAAAGGUCUCGUGGAUUGCAGGGUCCCACAACAUCACCUCCUCGAUGCAGUCGAUGGUUUGUUCCAGAUUCAGGCUUCUUUCUGGGAAGAAACGGUGACGGAAAUUCAGAAAAACGGGAGCUGCAUUCCUUUAGGACAUGAAUACAUGAAAUGCUCGUUUUGGGAACUCCUAGAAGAAUGAGCUGGAACCCACUUUCUGAGUCCUGCUGGAACCAGAGACCGAGAUAUUGCCCAGGUGUCUGAAUGACUGCACUGGGGUACCUAACUUCUUUUCUGAUAGACUAUAUUCCCGUUCAUCUCCUAGCCAGAAUCAAGAAAGGAAGACACAGCAGCCACACCAUUCCCACAGAGGUGAGGUCUGGAAGGGGUCACCCAGGCCAGGAGACUUCUGUUUGGAGUGUGGGGUCAUCCUCCUCUCAUUAUUUCCUGAAACUCAUGGAAAAGCCUUAAGGUACUCAGUCUCUGAGCACUUUUGGCUUCUAAACUUACCGCAGAAAGCUGACAGACUAAAAAUUGAGAAGCCUGUGGGCUCCUGGGUUAUGAGUGUGCGUCUGGAAAACAGACAUAUCACACAACACGCAAAACGAGACAAGGCCGGGAGAGCGAGCUGUACCUAAAGAUGAGGGUUUCCCAAAAGAGUUACAACUGAGAAUGGCCCCGGCAUUUACCUUGUCCUUGUCUGCAUUCUUGGUACAGUCAGAGCUGCUCUAACUCACAGAGGUUUCAGCAGUUUCUGGAUCUACCAAAGACCCUAGAAGGGACAGAGGUUUAUUCUGCUUUUAGAGGAAUUUGCAGAAUGAAAACAAUCCCUCAUCUCCUUCCUCAAAUAUCUUAAACUUUUCCCUACACUCAGGUCCCUGACCAGAGGCAGAGGGUAUCCCACAUGCCUUGAGUGACCCCCAAGGAUAAGGGGGAGAACCAUCCCCUCACCUUGAUAAAGACCUCACGGUGUCCUGGUCCAUGUUGUUUCAUAACUAAUCAAAUAACUAUGGACAGGUCAGGCUCAACUAGCAAUUUAGAAUUCAUCAGUAAAACAGAGGUUUCUCAGUAUACAUCAUGGGGAAUCACCAUUUCAUUACAGAUUAAGAAUAAAUAUGAGCACAUUUGGGUGGCUCAAUGCUAAUGCUUGGGUUAAGCAUACGACUCUUGAUUUUGGCUCAGGUCACGAUCUCACAGCUUGUGAAUUCGAGCCCAGCAUUGGGUUCCUCACUGACAGUGUGGACCCUG